AAAAAAAUAUAUAUCUUACCUCUCAUGACAGCAACUCCCAGCAACAUUCACUUAACCUCUGCAAAUUCAACCCUACGUAAAUUGUUCCAUUAAUCAGCUGUAAAAUGUGACUGGCAUGACACAUAUAUUAAGUACAGAAAAACAAAAUAAUCCAGUGGGUGAACAAACAUCAAAAAAUGAGCACGGUAGAGAGAAGCCAACCCAAGGAGGAAGCUUGUAGCUUGUUCCCAUUCCCAGAAUGAGGGACACAAGGUCUUGUGCUUUGGUCUCAUCCCAUUGUUAGAUGCAAGAGGAAAGGCCCAAUGGGGCUGAGGUAGGAGGAACCUAACAAGGUUCCAGAGGUGAUGUCAGCCCCAAUAGCCACGGGGUGAAGUGGUAAGGAUGGCCUGUCUUCCUCCUCUUCUAAUACGGCCUCCAAACCCCUCUUCCCUCCAGAGAAGUCUGUCUCUGUCGGCCUAGUUCUCGCCGUAGUGGUGAUAUAGAAUCCAGAAAACGUGUAGCAGGAACAGGGUGAGAGAGGCGACAGGAAAGUAGACGCCAUCCGCUUGCUGCUCGGCUCUCGGCGCCUUGUUUCCACGUGGCGCAAGGGACAGAGGGCCCGUGCAGGGCAGAAAGGGAGCUAAACGAGGAGCUGGCGGGUUACGGAGGGUGAGGAGGAGGAGAGAAACUGAAAAGGCACAAGGGUUGGGUCCAGGAGAUUCUUCAAGAUGAGCAGAAUCAUUGAAAUGUGGAUCCGAAUGACUGAGGAUUUCAAUCACCGGCAAAUUAUAGAACUGCAAUUCCUAAACCAGAAGUAGCCGUAAACUGGAGUCAUUCAAAAUAUAGACAGUGAUGAGAAGAGAAUCUUGUGAAACAGCCUAUGGAAACGCCGGGAGAAAAGUUUCCCAUUCCAACAGGACAGUCAGUGCUAUUUCUGUGACUGUGCCUGGAAGCUACUCCAAAAGUUCUGGCACUUACGCAAGGCAAAGCAUUUAAUAACCUGCUUCUGAGCAGCUGUCAAUUAACAACGUAAGGAACAACACACUACAUACAAUGAACUUUCUGUUUAACUCAGAUCAAAGGCUUAUUUAUACCCAUUUCUGUAUUUCCCAGCCUACUUCAAAGAAAUCAUACGUGCAUCAAGGGCUUUAGACAAGCCAGGUGGGAUGUCGGCCUUGCCCGCCGCACAGUCAAUUUGAGGAAAGCGAGAAGGGAAGGAGGAGCAGAGAAAAUGGUAAGUUUAACGGUUUUCAGCUUGUGAAAAUAUUGGCUAACUGGUGAUUUAUCUUCAUGUUUCUCUCUCCAGGAGGGGGAGAAAGGCCAGCACCAAAAUCCAUUUCAGCACUUUUCUCGUGUGAGUCAUUCAACCAACCAACCCUUCAGCACUUCGCCCUCAGAAAACGUGUUGAGUUGUGGCUUAUGGGAAGGAAAGCUUCCCUCGGCGGGGAUGCCGAGAGGAAGAGGAACGUGGCUGACUAGGGCAGUGUGGUCUCCGGCAGAGCUAGUUGUAGAGGGGUAUUGCUCUGAAGAUGUGUUUUAUCAGUCAGGCAGGUUUGUGCCACAGAAAUUUGAGUUUAUAUAUGUCAUACCACCAUUAAUAGGUAGCAAUUUAUAUUUACCAAGUGCAAAUAAUCCAUUGAGGUUUAAAACUUAAACAGUGAACAUCUAGUCAAUUUAAUCUAAACAAUCUAAGUCUAAUGUUAGUAGAGGAGCCCAGAAUAGAUGGGAUACUGAAGUGUAUUUUUAUUUUAACAAAAGCCAACUGGAAAGGCAAAAAUUCAUACUGUGAGUAAUCCAGCAUCUCUACAUGGCAACGGUGAGAGCUGAAAUGACUUUGAAGCACUCCGUUCCUUUUAAAGCGUCCCUUCUGCUACUAACUGUCCCACAUUACUAAAAAAUAACCAACCCCUGUUGAAAUGUUCAACUGAACUGCAGCCGUGACAGAGCAUUUUUUAACGGCAUUUCCCUUACCUGUGUGGGAUUCAGCUCCACAGAUGCUAGAGACGACUUAGAACUUUUCAGUUAUUUAGAUGUGUACGUUAAGAUUUCCAACUACUUCAUCCUGAGAGUCCACAUCUUCUAGAAGGGAAAACAUCUAAAAUGGAUAUAAAUUAGUAAACAAUAUGACUAAAUGUUUAGGCAGAGAUUAAAAACAACACUAAGCUUUACAUUCCAUGUACUGAAGGUAUGAAAAGCCCACCUCGGAAUACCUUCCAUGUACUGAAGGUAUUCCGAGUGUCAAAAUAUCUGAUAAAAUAAAUUACAGCCACUAGCAGAUAGUCAUCAUGCUGCUAAGCAUUAGUUCAGAAAUUAGAAAGACAAACAUGGUAGACAAGGUUUGCACAUUGACAAAGUGGCGACGACGGAAAGCAGUAAUAAUCACCUGGACCAUAUUCCUGAAUUCUUAUUUGUUUGAUAAAAGGUUAGAAGAGCAGACAUCUUGCCUGGGUGAAUUCUAUUUUAUUCACUCUUCAAAUAAAAGUCUUUCGAGCCCAACAAUAUGUCAUGGGAUUGUACAGAUUGGCAUUUGAAGAUAUCAAAAGGAUGCCUGACACCUAGAGAGACACGGAGACACGUGACUUCACUGUCAGUUGCUGGCUUUUCUGUUCCUGUUUCCAUGACAUUACAUAGGCGGGGGGGGGGGGAAGGGGGAGUUAUGGGUUGUGUUAGUUCAUUACUUCAAAUAAGAUGCUUGAACCCUUUACCUUCUUUGCACCCAUCUGAUACUGGUUUCCCUGGUAACGGAAUCAGGGAUGCCA